GACGAACGCUGGCGGCGUGCCUAAUACAUGCAAGUCGAGCGGACGGAUGGGAGCUUGCUCCCUGAAGUCAGCGGCGGACGGGUGAGUAACACGUGGGCAACCUGCCCUUGAGAUCGGGAUAACUUCGGGAAACCGGAGCUAAUACCGGAUAGGUCUUACCCUCACAUGAGGGAAAGAGGAAAGACGGUUUCGGCUGUCACUCAAGGAUGGGCCCGCGGCGCAUUAGCUAGUUGGUGGGGUAACGGCUCACCAAGGCCACGAUGCGUAGCCGACCUGAGAGGGUGAUCGGCCACACUGGGACUGAGACACGGCCCAGACUCCUACGGGAGGCAGCAGUAGGGAAUCUUCCGCAAUGGACGAAAGUCUGACGGAGCAACGCCGCGUGAGUGAAGAAGGUUUUCGGAUCGUAAAACUCUGUUGUCAGGGAAGAACAAGUGCCAUAGUAACUGAUGGCACCUUGACGGUACCUGGCCAGAAAGCCACGGCUAACUACGUGCCAGCAGCCGCCGUAAAAC
rnacentral:rRNA from 1 species